AGCUGCUCAUUCAACUGGUUAUGACUGCAUUGCCAACUGGCAUAUUUUCGCUCAUAACAUCCAGAAUGACGCCAAAAGAAAAGGUGCCUAUCGUCCACCUCAGCGAUAACUGUACGUGCAAGCGAACUUUAUCAAACAUCGGGCGACACGUUGAGUGAGGCACCACCUA
rnacentral:sRNA from 1 species